rnacentral:rRNA from 1 species
UACGGGGGGGGCAAGCGUUGUUCGGAAUUAUUGGGCGUAAAGAGCGUGUAGGCGGCCAAGUAAGUCUGCUGUGAAAACUCGAGGCUUAACCUCGAGCUGUCGGCGGAAACUAUUUGGCUAGAGUCCGGAAGAGGAGAAUGGAAUUCCCGGUGUAGCGGUGAAAUGCGCAGAUAUCGGGAAGAACACCCGUGGCGAAGGCGGUUCUCUGGGACGGUACUGACGCUGAGACGCGAAAGCGUGGGGAGCGAACAGG